CAAGAUGGAGGGAUGAAGAUACAUUGAUAGAGUGGAAGAGAGAGGGGGGGAAAGGAAAUAAGGGGAGAAGUAGAUGUUAGGGACAGAGAGAGAGGGAGAGAGGUGGAUGAUGUUAGGGACAGAGAGAGAGGGAGAGAGAGAGGUGGAUGAUGUUAGGGACAGAGAGAGAGGGAGAGAGGUGUAUGAUGUUAGGGACAGAGAGAGAGGGAGAGAGGUGUAUGAUGUUAGGGACAGAGAGAGAGGGAGAGAGAGAGGUGUAUGAUGUUAGGGACAGAGAGAGAGGGAGAGAGAGAGGUGUAUGAUGUUAGGGACAGAGAGAGAGGGAGAGAGAGAGGUGGAUGAUGUUAGGGACAGAGAGAGAGGGAGAGAGGUGUAUGAUGUUAGGGACAGAGAGAGAGGGAGAGAGAGAGGUGUAUGAUGUUAGGGACAGAGAGAGAGGGAGAGAGAGAGGUGUAUGAUGUUAGGGACAGAGAGAGAGGGAGAGAGGUGUAUGAUGUUAGGGACAGAGAGAGAGGGGGGGAGAGAGGUGGAUGAUGUUAGGGACAAAGAGAGAGGGAGAGAGGUGGAUGACGUUAAGGACAAAGAGAGAGGGAGAGAGGUGGAUGAUGUUAGGGACAAAGAGAUCUAGAGAGAGGUGGAUGAUGUUAAGGACAAAGAUGAUGAUGUUAGGGAGAGGGAGAUAAGUGGAUGAUGUUAGGGAGAUGGAGAGAGAUGGAUGAUUUUAGGGACAAAGAGAGAGGGAGAAAGGUGGAUGAUGUUAAGGACA